rnacentral:rRNA from 1 species
GCAAGUCGAACGAGAAAUUUCCCGCUUGCGGGAGAGAGUAAAGUGGCGCACGGGUGAGUAACUCGUGGAGAAUCUACCUUCUAAUCCGGAACAACAUUGCGAAAGCGAUGCUAAUACCGGAUAAUAUCUUUUUCUCUUCGGGGGAAAAGAUCAAAGACGGCCUCUGCGUGCAAGCUGUUGUUUGGAGAUGAGUCCGCGUACCAUUAGCUGGUUGGUGAGGUAACGGCUCACCAAGGCUUCGAUGGUUAGCUGGUCUGAGAGGAUGAUC